rnacentral:rRNA from 1 species
UACGGGGGGAGCAAGCGUUGUUCGGAAUCACUGGGCUUAAAGGGCGCGUAGGCGGGUUCGUAAGUCUGUGGUGAAAGCCCCCAGCUUAACUGGGGAAGUGCCAUGGAUACUGCGAGUCUUGAGGAGGGUAGGGGCAUCUGGAACACUGGGUGGAGCGGUGAAAUGCGUUGAUAUCCAGUGGAACUCCGGUGGCGAAGGCGAGGUGCUGGACCCUUUCUGACGCUGAUGCGCGAAAGCCAGGGGAGCAAACGGG